rnacentral:rRNA from 1 species
GAUGAACGCUAGCUACAGGCUUAACACAUGCAAGUCGAGGGGAAACGACAUCGAAAGCUUGCUUUUGAUGGGCGUCGACCGGCGCACGGGUGAGUAACGCGUAUCCAACCUGCCCACCACUUGGGGAUAACCUUGCGAAAGUAAGACUAAUACCCAAUGAUAUCUCUAGAAGACAUCUGAAAGAGAUUAAAGAUUUAUCGGUGAUGGAUGGGGAUGCGUCUGAUUAGCUUGUUGGCGGGGUAACGGCCCACCAAGGCAACGAUCAGUAGGGGUUCUGAGAGGAAGGUCCCCCACAUUGGAACUGAGACACGGUCCAAACUCCUACGGGAGGCAGCAGUGAGGAAUAUUGAUCAAGGGACGAGAGUCUGAACCAGCCAAGUAGCGUGCAGGAAGACGGCCCUAUGGGUUGUAAACUGCUUUUAUAAGGGAAUAAAGUGAGUCUCGUGAGACUUUUUGCAUGUACCUGAUGAAUAAGGACCGGCUAAUUCCGUG